AGCGAACGCUGGCGGCAGGCUUAACACAUGCAAGUCGAGCGCUCGUAGCAAUACGGGAGCGGCAGACGGGUGAGUAACACGUGGGAACGUACCUUUUGGUUCGGAACAACACAGGGAAACUUGUGCUAAUACCGGAUAAGCCCUUACGGGGAAAGAUUUAUCGCCAAAAGAUCGGCCCGCGUCUGAUUAGCUUGUUGGUGAGGUACGGCUCACCAAGGCGACGAUCAGUAGCUGGUCNGAGAGGAUGAUCAGCCACAUUGGGACUGAGACACGGCCCAAACUCCUACGGGAGGCAGCAGUGGGGAAUAGUUGGACAAUGGGCGCAAGCCUGAUCCAGCCAUGCCGCGUGAGUGAUGAAAGGCCCUAGGGUUGUAAAGCUCUUUUGGUGCGGGGAAGAUAAUG
rnacentral:rRNA from 1 species